rnacentral:rRNA from 1 species
UAGGGAAUCUUCCACAAUGGACGCAAGUCUGAUGGAGCAACGCCGCGUGAGUGAAGAAGGUUUUCGGAUCGUAAAGCUCUGUUGUUGGUGAAGAAGGAUAGAGGUAGUAACUGGCCUUUAUUUGACGGUAAUCAACCAGAAAGUCACGGCUAACUACGUGCCAGCAGCCGCGGUAAUACGUAGGUGGCAAGCGUUGUCCGGAUUUAUUGGGCGUAAAGCGAGCGCAGGCGGAAGAAUAAGUCUGGUGUGAAAGCCCUCGGCUUAACCGAGGAACUGCAUCGAAAACUGUUUUUCUUGAGUGCAGAAGAGGAAGGUGGAAUUCCAUGUGUAGCGGUGGAAUGCGUAGAUAUAUGGAAGACCACCAGUAGCGAAGGCAACUCUCUGGUCUGCAACUGACGCUGAAGCUCGAAAGCAUGAGUAGCGAACAGG